UCUUCAUCUCAUCACUCUACCUUGUUUGUCACUGAAACCAAUCAUCAAGGGAGUUGUGAAUCCCUCGGUUAGAUCUACUACUAGUGAGUGCAGAGUUUGGUGUAAAUGUAACUCUUCAUGCUAAGCAAGUUCUACUGUUGCGUUGAAGCUCAACUCUAGCCUUCAAAAUGUGCAGAUCCACUAUCCACAUAUGCUAUGACCAAAAUUAAGGGUCUAAGUUUCAGCUCUAUCUUGUUGAAGUUUUAUCUCCCUACAAAGUCUCAAUGGAUUGAACCCCAUUCAGGAUUAAUACCAUUAUUUAAGGCAUUCUUUGGACGAUUCUACCACAAUGAAAUUAGAGAAAAUCGAUGUUGCAUCCUUUUCUAGGUUUCUACAGUUUCACCUUGUUGAUGGCGAUUUUUAGCUGAAACUAGAAUUUUUAUUUGGUCCUAAAUGGACACCCUAAUCUCUCACCAUGUUUAAGUACAAAAAUCUGUGGAUGCACAUACCUCUGUUUGCUCUGUUAAUUAUGUAGAUGCCUCCUUAUGUAUGGUGUACCAUAUUUGGCUAGAUUAAAUAUCUUCUUCUAUGUGCUAUGAAUUUUUUGAAAUUGGUUAAUCUAAAUUCACCUACAAAGGAUAAAACUAAAUUAAUAAGAAAAUAUACAAGCGUAUUUCCUUUUUUAAGGGAAUGUUUACUCUUGUUAAACAUCUCUUCUCAAUCUCCUAUUGAUACUAAUCUCGUAUGCCACACUCCAUGACCCAUUCCAUUCUCCCUCCGACAUAUGCACCACAACUAAAGGGUAAGUCUGAAUAAUGACAAUUGCAAUUUCAUGCUCAAUAGAUUAAUUAAGAGUCUCCCUUGUAGCUCUAGGUUCCGCUACUAUGUUGGUUGUAUCAUAAUUCUGAAACCUUUAGGUACUACCAGAUUACCACUAUGAUUUAUGAUACAAAAUUCUGCUGAAUCCAUUGUUGCAUUACCGUAAAUUAGGAGGAUGAGGCUUCCAUCUUACAAUUUUAAAAGAGAAUUGAGGUUUGUAGUAUUCCAAUUCUGAGAGAAUACAAGGCCAAGAGUUGCUGCUUCAUUUCCCUUUUAAUCUCACGAGAAUAAAUCUUAAAAUUGUAUCAUUAAUACCCCAUAGCACUCUAAAUUCUUAAAAGGAACCUCCACCAAUAAUAGGAUUCAUUCGGUUCCACGGAAACUAUAAAAUAAUGUAAGGAUAGCUUGAAAAACUACCUUCACUCUAUAAAUGCCUUAUACUGCCUGCCACAACCUUAUGGACUGCUGCAAGUUUAGAAUAGGCCCCACAAUUCCCACCAUCUGUGAUUUAAUACUAACCCUACCCCAUUCAGCAGCAUGUGUUCUAGAAAUGGGAACCUCCUUUCCAUUGAACAAGGGCAUGUAUUUGCUUUCUAAAAUACUUCAUCCGUAUAAAUUUAAAUCAUAAUGUAGUUUCAAUUGUGGAAUAGCUGUUAAGUAUUUUUUUAGUAUUAGCUUGAAUAAGGAAAUAUUUUUAAGCACUUAUCAUAACUUGUGAUUUUUUUGGCUUAUAAGAAAAGAGAUAUAAUCUUAUACAAAUAGGCUCUUAGUAUUACCUCAUUCACUACACUAAUCUAGCAAGAGAAAAAAACUUUAAUAUCAAUAUGCUAUACAUAAUUCAGAAGUAUAAUGUGUUUAAUUUUAAGAACUUUAAAAUUUAACUAAUUAAAUUUAAAUUAUAAAUAUAAUUUGGGAAACAUUAAUAGAUUAAUUAUUGCUAGAAACACCCAAAAUGAGAGUUUCAAGUCCCAUAUAAGAUAAAGUAGGAAAUAUAAGUUAAAAAGUUAAAUUUAGAGAAAAGAAAAGAACAAAAUGGUCUGAGCAAAAUCUAUGAAGGCUUACAUAAAUAGGAAAUAAGAAGUAGUAUCAGUUUAUUUUGAGCUUACACAGGGGAUUUAGUUUCUCAAGCCUUCAUAUUUUUGGAUGAAGGUUAGAAAUUCAAUUAGUAGUAAAUCAGUAAUAGUAAUAUUUCCCAAUGUAAGAAAUUGUUGAUGCAAUUUUAGUUAGUUGCAACAUAAAUUUCUUAGUUACUACAUUCUGAUUUCUGUAUGAUUUAUUAAAAUAUAUAUUCUUUUAUUUGAUGUUUCAAGUUCUUAUUUGCCUGCCUUAUUUAUACUAGUUUCUCUUUUAAUGUAGCAACUUAUAAUGAUCCUAUUUUGUUUGGUUGAAAUUAUAUAUUUUGUUAUUAACAUCUAUGAUAGUAUAUUUUUCUAAUUUAAUACUGCUUUGAGUGUGAUUUAGUCACGAGAGUCUUGUAUUGGACUUUGUAAUCAAAAGCAUCAAUGGGAUAAGAAUAGUUGCAUGUAAGUAAGAAUCUAUAAAGCCUAAUACUUGCAACUUCAACUUCAUCAUUAAAAAAAAAGUAAAAAAAUUAAUUCAUCAUUAAUUUUAUACAGUGUUUUUUGUUGUCCCUUAUUUACUAUUUCUUUUAUUUCAUAUGAGAAAAAAUCAAUUCUGAAUUGGUGAUUUUCCUUUGCCAUUGAAAAUAGUAAGCAAUUAUGAUGUUUUCUUUUAAUAUGUAAAAUAUUUUUUUUAUAACGUUCAAGUUAAAUUUCUUAAAAUUUCAAAAAAUUGAAAAAUAACAAAAAAUAUUUCUAAUUUUCUUUCCAUUUCAUUUAACUCAUAAAAAGUUUAAAACAACUUCAGUUAAUAUCUUUUAUCGAAUACAAUUGCAUGCAAGGCAAUUGUAUUAAAAAUUUGCUCACUUUUUUCAAUAGAAGAGGAAAAUCACCAAUUAAAAAUUGGUUUUUAGGUCGGAUGAAAUAAGAGAAACAACAUAUAAGGGACAACAAAUAAUAAUAUAUCAAAUUGGUGAUGAAGUUGAAGUUACAAGUCAAGUAUUAGGCUUCAUAGGUUGUUACUUGCAUGCAACUAUUUCAUAUCCUAUUGGCGCUUUUCAUUACAAAGUACAAUUCAAGACUCUGGUGAUUGAUGAUGAAACAUAUUCAAUACAAGACUUUCAAAGGACAAUUUGAAUCGGAAAGUAUUUUGUCAUCAUAUACUUAGAGUUCAAAUAUUUGGCGAUACAAAUAAGAAUGAAAUUUGUAAAAAAAAAUUAUGUUGUGAAAAACUCUUUAACACAAGAAUUUGUGGAUGGUUGAAAUUGUGUAAAUAUAAAAGAAUGGUCAUUCUAAUUUACCUCUAUUGAGACUAGAAGGGAAAAAAAAGAGAGAAUUGUAGUUCUCUUAACGACUUAGUAUAAAAAGUCAAAACCUAAAAUAAAUUGUCCCCUAAAUUUAAUUAUUCAUAUUGUUUUUCUUUAACCUGUAUAAACUUUGCAAGAGGAAUAAUCAUAUUGAUUCAACAGAACAAAACUCCUCAAACCGCUGAUAUGAAGAGUUAUGCGACCCUUAUCAUGGUCACCCUUUCCAUUCAAUAGCUAUAAUGGUGAAGCGCUUUUCAGUGUUGUAUAAUUUGAUUCAUGCUUUACUUUGAAUUGAUGAAGAAGACUUCGAUUUUUAUUGGUUGUAUGAGCACUGUCAACAACAACUCAAAAAGUUAUAUGUACAAAUUCUUUAUAUUUCUUUUUUUUUCAUCUGUAUUGUUAUUAUUAAAUUCCAUAAAAUGAUAUGUAUGUUGCUUUUUUUGUUUA